CAACCAUUCAGCAUUCACCUAUCCUUGAUGAAAAUUCGACAUUACAGUUCAGUCCUUUAUGGGUUCUUCUUACCUUCCAAUUCUGGAAAGCGUUUCUAUUCAAAGCAUUAAUUUGCAUUUCUUGUCCUCGAUCAGAUUCCGUGAAAUAAAAUGGGCAGAAGAUGCAAUUAAAGUGAAGAAAAUGUACUCCGGAGUAGUGGAUUUUGGCUCUGCACCAUCGCUGUUUGUAAGUCGGCUCUUCCUGAACAUAUAAUGAAGGGAAUGAAACAAUAGCUGGGGAAACAGUGAGUGGGUGAGUCAUCGUGGAGCUUUCACUCGCUGGUUCUGAUGGCCUGGCAGGGGCCAGGCAGCUUGUUGGGCUAGAAUCUCCUUUCUUUA